CCUACGGGCGGCAGCAGUGGGGAAUAUUGGGCAAUGGGGGGAACCCUGAUCCAGCCAUGCCGCGUGUGUGAAGAAGGCCCUCGGGUUGUAAAGCACUUUCAGUGAGGAAGAACGCCUGGUGGUUAAUACCCAUCAGGAAAGACAUCACUCACAGAAGAAGCACCGGCUAACUCCGUGCCAGCAGCCGCGGUAAUACGGAGGGUGCGAGCGUUAAUCGGAAUUACUGGGCGUAAAGCGCGCGUAGGUGGCUUGAUAAGCCGGUUGUGAAAGCCCCGGGCUCAACCUGGGAACGGCAUCCGGAACUGUCAAGCUAGAGUGCAGGAGAGGAAGGUGGAAUUCCCGGUGUAGCGGUGAAAUGCGUAGAGAUCGGGAGGAAUACCAGUGGCGAAGGCGGCCUUCUGGACUGACACUGACACUGAGGUGCGAAAGCGUGGGUAGCAAACAGGAUUAGAUACCCCUGUAGUC
rnacentral:rRNA from 1 species